ACAAGUCAAAUGCGCGGGCAUCUUUAAUUAAUCAUGCGUUGCCUACUCCCAUUUUUAAUUUUAAUGCAUCAUUUCAUAUGUCAAAAUCCAACUUCCAUACUGUUUACUGCUUCUGCAGACUAACUGCUAUAUUUACACACAUUUUUCUUCGUUUCCAUUACCUUAUCUAAGUUUUAACUAUUUUACUCAUAUUUAUUCUCAGUAUUUGAAGAGAUACGAUACUAAUUUCAAAAUCGUCGAAAACAAGUGUGAUGGGAUCAGUUCAAGAUGAGAGUAAGGAUGAAUUUAAACAAAGUCUUACCCGGGGAAAACUCAAGCCUUCUUCCUCAUCGUCGUUCCGUCUCCGUAGCCCGAGCUUGAAUUCUAUUCGUCUUCGUCGGAUCUUCGAUGUGUUCGAUAGAAAUCACGAUUGUUUGAUCAGCGUUGAAGAACUCAGCCAAGCACUUAACCUGCUUGGAUUAGACGCCGAUCUAUCAGAAAUUGAAUCGAUGGUGAAAUCAUACAUCAAACCAGAAAACACUGGUCUUAGAUUUGAAGAUUUCGAAGCCUUACAUCGAUCUCUGAACGACGUUUUCUUCGGGUCAAAAUGUGAAGAUAAGCUCGGGUUGAAUUCGGAUCCGGCACAGGAUGAAUUGGAUCUGAAAGAAGCGUUUGAUGUUUUUGACGAGAACGGGGAUGGAUUUAUAUCGGCGAAGGAAUUGCAGGUGGUGUUAGAGAAAUUGGGAUUACCGGAAGGAAGUGAAAUUGAUAGAGUGGAGAUGAUGAUUUCGUCAGUUGAUCAGGAUCAUGAUGGUCGCGUUGAUUUCUUCGAGUUCAAAGAUAUGAUGCGUACUGUUAUUGUUCCUUCAUGAUUUUUACUUUCGAGAUUCUCGGCGCCGGAAUGUGACAUCACUUUACGGCGGGUUAUUUUUACUUGCUUCUUUUUCUGUAUUUGGUUCAGCUGUUUUGUGCCAUCUUUGUAUCAAACAUACUUAUCGUAUAAUGUGAAAAAUUAUGCAUCAUCAAUAUUAACCUAAAGUUAAAUCAGCU
rnacentral:misc_RNA from 1 species